CGGGUGAGUAAUGCUUCGGAAUCUGCCCUUUAGUGGGGAAUAACCAGUCGAAAGACUGGCUAAUACCGCAUACGACCUACGGGUGAAAGCAGGGGAUCGCAAGACCUUGCGCUAAUGGAUGAGCCCAAGUCGGAUUAGCUAGUUGGUAGGGUAAAGGCCUACCAAGGCGACGAUCCGUAGCUGGUCUGAGAGGAUGAUCAGCCACACUGGGACUGAGACACGGCCCAGACUCC
rnacentral:rRNA from 1 species